GUUAAGAACAAAUUCUUAUUUUCAAUGACAGCCUAGGAACAGUAGGUUAACUGCCUUGUUCAGGGGCAGAACAACAGAUUUGUACCUUGUCAACUCAGGGAUUUGAGCUUGCAACCUUUCGGUUAUUAAUCCAAUUCUCUAACCACUAGGCUACGCUGCCGCCCCGGCCAGAGGAAGAGCUGUCAUUCAUUGAAGAUGCAACUAAAGAGAGUCCAGCUACAGAAUAGUCUAAAUACCAGGACCACUGAGAGAGACCAGUUACAGAACAGUCUAAAUACCAGGACCACAGAAAGAGACCAGUUACAGAACAGCCUAAAUACCAGGACCACCGAGAGAGACCAGCUACAGAAUAGCCUAUAUUCCAGGACCACAGAGAGAGACCAGCUACAAAAUAGUCUCACCACAAGGACCAAAGACAGGGACCAGCAGCAAAAUAAUCUUAAAGUUAUGACUGCUGAAAGAGAUCAAUUAAAGAUUAGUCUUAACUCAAGGACUAAAGAGAGAGACCAGUUGCAGAAUAGUCUAAAUACCAG
rnacentral:lncRNA from 1 species